GUUUGCGUUUUAUCACUCUAUAUCAUCACAAGACAUUUCUGAUACAGUUUGCGGAGGUUUAUUAGCCAAUGCUAAUAACGUUUUAACAUAAAGAAUAUGACCAAAGUGGCCAAAGUUAGCUUACUUUUCUGACUUAACAGGAUUGCUGAAACGUCUUCUUCCAACCCUAAACAUGACAUUUCAGCUGCGAGCUAUAAACAAUUGGUCGAGUGAAGUUUGGAAGAGGAGGCUGAGAAGCUCGUGCAGCAGACAGCCAGAGUUGAAGCUCCAAGGAGGCUGAAGUAAACCAGGCAUGAACUAACAGGCUGUUACGCAUCACUACAGUCCUUGGAGGAGAGCAGGGUAGUCAUGCAGGAAAUGUGACCUGUUCAAAAUGUUUUAGUGUUUAGAUCAGGGUGUUCUAUUAUGUAUUAAUACAUUAAGUCUCUCUAACUCUGAACUGUAUAAUAAAGCUUAAAUGCAAUGAAAUAAAACAAAAAAUAUGUUUUGUCUGACAAUAAAAUAUGUUCUCUUCC